rnacentral:lncRNA from 1 species
AGCUUUUUCUUUCAGAUUUCCCACUCAGGUUGAGUCAAAACGAACAGAGUAUUUUGUUGGUAUUGGGUGCUUGAAUAGAGGUAUACGAAUCAUACCUCUGUUUCAUUUAUCUUGGUCUCUACUAUCUUUCCUCACAAUAAAAUCACAUUGCUCGAGUUUAUCAGACCAGCAGCUGCAGUGCACUGUUUCCUCAAUACUGAGUAUUCAACACAUUUCCUCUUGGUGAGGGAACUCCCUUGUCAGAGCAAAAGGGACUGUAGCAGCCAAUCUUAAGGUAGUGUCAGAAACUGAUCGUGCUUUACUUGCCGCCAGCGACUGCUUGCUCAAGUCGUAGGCUGAGCUUCACAAAUUCUCCCAGCUUGGUAGCAGAAAAUUCAGGAGGCUGCGCUGCACUGAGGAUGGGUCCAAUUAGACCCAAAAUGCGUCUGCAGUUGCCUUCCUGCAUAGUUGUAACUAGUGUUGCACCAAACAGAGUAUCUUUUUGAGGGAAAAUUGUGCUCAAAUGAACUUCUUCCCUCAGUAUUGAGAUUUCCAGUUUUCUGGAUUUUUAACACACAUUGGCUAAAAAAUUCCCACUUAAAAUCUAAAGGUGAGUGAACGGGGAUCCAAGAGACAGACCAGACCUCCUCUUCUAGCUGAGAGAGCAGUUAGCAUUUAUAAAUUUGAUGAGAAUUUUGAAGAAAACAUUUACCUGAUGCUGCGGAGAUUGCUGCGGCUGCUGAUGUUGCGGUGAUUGAUGCGGCUGUUGAUGCUGCGGUGACUGAUGCGACUGAUGUUGAGGGGAUGGUGGAGGGUACUGGCCGGGAGGCGGUGACUGCGGAGCAGGUGAGGAGUUUUGAGGGGGCCCUGGCCCAGGCCCAGAGAUAGGACUCGGUGGAUGUUGUUGUUGUGUAGGCCAGGACCGCUGCUCUCCUGGCCCUAACCCAAAAGCCCCGCUGGAGGACAUAUUUGACGCAGGAGGAGUCAGUGGAGGUAGAUAUUGCUGGCCAGGCGGAGAAGCUCGCUGAAGAGUACCUACUCCCGACGGCUGCUGCGUUCCUUGCUGGCCUGUUUGCUGCUGUUGCUGCGGCGAAGGUCCACCUCUUCCCGGCCCAUUCUGGAACAUGCAAAACAAAUAGAGUGAGUUUUAUUCCUAUCUACUUAUCACCUUACUUCCAGUUUACAUUGGAAAGGUCAAAUGUCAGAUCAAGAUCCACUCUUUACACCUGUCAAAUAACCAGCUCAUAAAAAAAUUUGACUCCCUCAAACCUGUAUAAUAUUGGUAUGUUAUUGCAUACAUGGUUUAACGAUGGACAUUUUUCA